AAAAAAAGAGAGAGAGAAAUCUCUUCCCAGCAGGAAGUAUGGCAUUUCCUAAUACCGGAACAAUAAAUUCUGGUUUAAUGCUGCUGCUGUUUAAUUUCGGUGUAAGAUCUCCACCUCUCAGCUGCUGUCUGUAGUUAUAAAAAGCCCACCCUCUGCCUGUUUUCUAUCAGUGUCUACAAGAUGGUGCUUGGUAAGUAGUCUGUACCUUUUAUUCAGAUUUGAUAAGAUGUACACUAUUCAGUGCAAUAACAGUAAUUAUUUUCUAAUCUUCACCUUUUUCUUAACAGGUACAUUGUAAGCAGUUGGAGCAGGAACAGCUGGAGCUGUAGUUGGAGCCCCAGUUGUGGUUUCAGCGUUGGGUUUCACUGCAGGCGGCAUCGCUGCAGGAUCCGUAGCUUCAUGGAUGAUGUCCACAGCCGCGGUCGCUAACGGUGGAGGCGUAGCAGCGAAAGUAUUGUUGCUUUCCUGCAAUUUGAGCUGCUGGAUUGUCUGCUGUUGGCCAGACUGCCCUGGGUACUGCAGGAGGAGCUGUGACAUUAGCCUUGUUGUAAACCAAACCUACAGCAAAUAUGAUUGACUUUCUUUAUGCAUCAAUGCCUAUAAAUCAGUCAUAUUUUUUCUUUACUACACUAAUCAUGCCUUGCUUGUGGAUUUGGCACAGGUUUGUUGUGGAAAGAAAGUUUUGUUACCUUUCAUCUGCAUUGCUUAACCCUGUGUUGCAUAUAAAAAAGAAUUUGUCCAUACUUUUUUAAUUUAUUGUGGUGUACAUAGUUAUUAAGCGUCACAUGGUAUUUAUUGAUUUCUUUUUUUCUUUAGACAUUUGAGCAUGGUACUCUGGUAGUAGCAAUAUAGCUGUAGUGAAUAAAAAAAAUACAGUACAUUGUUGUGGAUUUAUUUUUGGAGGAUUCAUCAUUUAUUAGUUAAAAAAAAAAUUGUGGAAGUGAAUUAAACAACUAUUUAUA